rnacentral:rRNA from 1 species
GACGAACCGUACGAACGUUAUUCGGAAUUACUGGGCUUAAAGGGUGUGUAGGUGGCGCCGUAAGUCGGGUGUGAAAUUUCGGAGCUUAACUCCGAAACUGCAUUCGAUACUGCGGUGCUUGAGGACUGGAGAGGAGACUGGAAUUCAUGGUGUAGCAGUGAAAUGCGUAGAGAUCAUGAGGAAGACCAGUGGCGAAGGCGGGUCUCUGGACAGUUCCUGACACUGAGACACGAAGGCCAGGGGAGCAAACGGG